ACCUAUUUGAUGAAAUGGUAGACAUGCAAGACUUAAAAUCUUGUCCUUACGGGUAUUGGUUCAAGUCCAAUAAUAGGUA
rnacentral:tRNA from 1 species